rnacentral:sRNA from 1 species
GUCGCCUACCGCGAAAUGCUCACCGAAGAGCUCAGCUACACGGCAAAAGUGGAAGACGGGCUCAGUGAGAAGAAGCGGCCCGAAUUUGUGCAGUUAACUAUGAGAUUGGAGCCGACUCAGGCCCAUAUUCCAUUCAAAAAAGUUGGAAAUAUCGAUUUUAUCUGAAAAAUCUGAAAAAUUCGGGCUUUCAGAUCGAGCUUGAACUCCCACAAACGGCCCGUCCUGUGCGUUUAGACUGGCAAAAAGCCGUCAACGAAGGAUGCUCAAAUGCUCUGCAAAAUGGGCCGCUAGCGUCGUAUCCAGUCCAUGUAAGGCUUGAAAAGACUGAAAAUCUGGAUAUUUUAGGCUUUUAGGCCUGAAAUAGCAAAAAAUUAAUUUUUUUCAGGCUGUUCGAGUGGUGCUGACCGAGUGUAUUGUUAGUGGAGGAAAGAUUAAUCCGGCGCUGUG